AUGGAGGAGGUGUUUGAUGCUUGUUGUGUCACAAACGAGCAUGCGAGAGUGCCAAUUCCCACAUAUCAAGGUUCUACGUCUCGAAUCAAUUUGGAUGAUGAGUCUGGUUGUGAAGGUGACAAAACUGAAGUUACACCUCGUGCGAAUCGUGCAAAUGUUGGGAAGAAGAGGGCAUCUCCUUAUUCCCCAAGUCCUAAGGCGAAUGAAAAGUGGGCAAGUGAGCAUGCAAAGAAUGAGGCAUUUGUUCGUAUGGUGGACCUCUUUGAUUCAAGGAACAAGAGAGAUGAGACUCAAGUUUCAGCAAGACAAGAGAUUCAUGAAAUGAUGGCCAUGGUAGAAGCAGAUGGUGGUGCACCUGGGAGUGAUGUUCAUUUCUAUGCUUCACAGCUAUUCAAGGAUCAGAAAAAUCGUGAUGUUUUCUCUGCCUUCAAGACUCACGAGCCUAGUGCGAGGCUGAUAUGGAUAAACAAAGCAUGGGAGUUCAACAAUAAGUAG
rnacentral:rRNA from 1 species